rnacentral:rRNA from 1 species
GGAUUGCCCUAGUAACGGCGAGUGAAGCGGCAAUAGCUCAAAUUUGAAAGCUGGCCUUCUGGUCCGCAUUGUAAUUUGUAGAGGAUGCUUUUAGGCAGCCGCCGGUCUAAGUUCCUUGGAACAGGACGUCAUAGAGGGUGAGAAUCCCGUAUGUGACCGGCUCUGGCACCUUCUGUAAAGCUCCUUCGACGAGUCGAGUUGUUUGGGAAUGCAGCUCUAAAUGGGAGGUAAAUUUCUUCUAAAGCUAAAUACUGGCGAGAGACCGAUAGCGCACAAGUAGAGUGAUCGAAAGAUGAAAAGCACUUUGGAAAGAGAGUUAAAAAGCACGUGAAAUUGUUGAAAGGGAAGCGCUUGCAAUCAGACUUGGCUUCGGUUGUUCAACAGGUCUUCUGACCUGCCUACUCAAUCGUUGCCAGGCCAGCAUCAGUUUCGGCGGCCGGAUAAAGGCCCUGGGAAUGUGGCCGUCUCUUCGGAGACGGUGUUAUAGCCCAGGGUGUAAUACGGCCAGCUGGGACUGAGGUCCGCGCUUCGGCUAGGAUGCUGGCGUA